UCUUCGCUAGUAUAUCGGUUAGUAUAAUCGCCUCUCAAGAGAGAGCAUCCGGGCGCUUCUGCGCUCAGAAUGAUCGCGAUAGAGCAGGGUUCGACUCCCUGGCGGAGAA